AGCGAACGCUGGCGGCAGGCCUAACACAUGCAAGUCGAACGGAUCCUUCGGGAUUAGUGGCGGACGGGUGAGUAACACGUGGGAACGUGCCCUUUGGUUCGGAACAACUCGGGGAAACUUGAGCUAAUACCGGAUGUGCCCUUCGGGGGAAAGAUUUAUCGCCAUUGGAGCGGCCCGCGUCUGAUUGGCUAGUUGGUGAGGUAAAGGCUCACCAAGGCGACGAUCAGUAGCUGGUCUGAGAGGAUGAUCAGCCACAUUGGGACUGAGACACGGCCCAAACUCCUACGGGAGGCAGCAGUGGGGAAUCUUGCGCAAUGGGCGAAAGCCUGACGCAGCCAUGCCGCGUGAAUGAUGAAGGUCUUAGGAUUGUAAAAUUCUUUCACCGGGGACGAUAAUGACGGUACCCGGAGAAGAAGCCCCGGCUAACUUCGUGCCAGCAGCCGCGGUAA
rnacentral:rRNA from 1 species